AGGAAAACACUAACAGACAACAACAUUGAGAUUCGUAAAUCAAUCCAGGACCUGCCAAAUGACAGUGUUGAGGUCUGGAGCCCCAUAAGUGGACUAUCAUCACAAAGUCUAUCAGGAACUACAGAAGAAGUAGAUAACCUGAAUCAUAAUUCCUCCGACCACGACUUGGAUAAUGGCUCUGAAGAUGCACAUGAUGUCAGCCACACAGCCAUAACUGAUGAAGAUUCUGAAGCCUGGCCUUCUCUCAGUGGGCAACAAAGUCUGUCAGGAGCAGAAGUCUCUGUAAGUUUCAGCUUUGUGGUGUGUUGCUGAACCAUGUAUUCUUUAGCAACGCUAUAAAGUAU